CCCUUAGAUGUCCUGGGCCGCACGCGCGUUACACUGAUGCAUUCAACGAGCUUAUAACCUUGGCCGAGAGGCCUGGGCAAUCUUGUUAACGUGCAUCGUGAUAGGGAUAGAUUAUUGAAAUUAUUAAUCUUGAACGAGGAAUUCCUAGUAAACGCAGAUCAUCAAUCUGCAUUGAUUACGUCCCUGCCCUUUGUACACACCGCCCGUCGCACCUACCGAUUGGAUGGUCCGGUGAAGCCUCGGGAUUGUGGUUCUUGCCGCUUUAUUGUGGCGUGACCGCGAGAACUUGUCUAAACCUUAUCAUCUAGAGGAAGGUGAAGGCGUAACA
rnacentral:rRNA from 1 species